rnacentral:rRNA from 1 species
UACAGAGGUCCCAAGCGUUGUUCGGAUUCACUGGGCGUAAAGGGUGCGUAGGCGGUCGGAUAAGUCUGAUGUGAAAUCUUCGAGCUCAACUCGGAAACUGCAUCGGAAACUAUUUGGCUAGAGGAUUGGAGGGGAGACUGGAAUUCUCGGUGUAGCAGUGAAAUGCGUAGAGAUGUGGAGGAACACCGAUGGCGAAGGCAGCCUCCUGGGCCAGCACUGACGCUCAUGCACGAAAGCGUGGGGAGCAAACAGG